AUACGGAGGGGGCAAGCGUUGUUCGGAAUUACUGGGCGUAAAGCGCGCGUAGGCGGCUAAUUAAGUCAAAUGUGAAAUCUCCGAGCUUAACUUGGGAAUUGCAUUCGAUACUGGUUAGCUAGAGUGUGGGAGAGGAUGGUAGAAUUCCAGGUGUAGCGGUGAAAUGCGUAGAGAUCUGGAGGAAUACCGAUGGCGAAGGCAGCCAUCUGGCCUAACACUGACGCUGAGGUGCGAAAGCAUGGGGAGCAAACAGGAGUAGAAACCCCAGUAGUCC
rnacentral:rRNA from 1 species